ACGCUAUCACUCCUACGGGAGGCAGCAUUGGGGGAAUAUUGCACAAUAGGGGGAAAACCCUGAUGCAGCCAUGCCGCGUGUGUGAAGAAGGCCUUCGGGUUGUAAAGCACUUUCAGUAGGGAGGAAGGUAGUGUAGUUAACACCUGCACUAAUUUGACGUUACCUACAGAAGAAGCACCGGCUAACUCCGUGCCAGCAGCCGCAGUAAUACGGAGGGUGCGAGCGUUAAUCGGAAUUACUGGGCGUAAAGCGCAUGCAGGCGGCCUGUUAAGUCAGAUGUGAAAGCCCGGGGCUUAACCUCGGAAUUGCAUUUGAAACUGGUAGGCUAGAGUCUUGUAGAGGGGGUAGAAUUUCAGGUGUAGCGGUGAAAUGCGUAGAGAUCUGAAGGAAUACCAGUGGCGAAGGCGGCCCCCUGGACAAAGACUGACGCUCAGAUGCGAAAGCGUGGGGAGCAAACAGGAUUAGAUACCCUGGUAG
rnacentral:rRNA from 1 species